rnacentral:rRNA from 1 species
UACGACCAGGGCUACACACGUGCUACAAUGGCAUAUACAAAGAGAAGCGACCUCGCGAGAGCAAGCGGACCUCAUAAAGUAUGUCGUAGUCCGGAUUGGAGUCUGCAACUCGACUCCAUGAAGUCGGAAUCGCUAGUAAUCGUAGAUCAGAAUGCUACGGUGAAUACGUUCCCGGGCCUUGUACACACCGCCCGUCACACCAUGGGAGUGGGUUGCAAAAGAAGUAGGUAGCUUAACCUUCGGGAGGGCGCUUACCACUUUGUGAUUCAUGACUGGGGUGAAGUCGUAACAAGGUAACCGUAGGGGAACCUGCGGUUGGAUCACCUCCUUACCUUAAAGAA